rnacentral:rRNA from 1 species
ACGAACGCUGGCGGCGUGCUUAACACAUGCAAGUCGAACGGAAAGGCCCUGCUUUUGUGGGGUGCUCGAGUGGCGAACGGGUGAGUAACACGUGAGUAACCUGCCCUUGACUUUGGGAUAACUUCAGGAAACUGGGGCUAAUACCGGAUAGGAGCUCCUGCUGCAUGGUGGGGGUUGGAAAGUUUCGGCGGUUGGGGAUGGACUCGCGGCUUAUCAGCUUGUUGGUGGGGUAGUGGCUUACCAAGGCUUUGACGGGUAGCCGGCCUGAGAGGGUGACCGGCCACAUUGGGACUGAGAUACGGCCCAGACUCCAACGGGAGGCAGCAGUGGGGAAUAUUACACAAUGGGCGGAAGCCUGAUGCAGCAACGCCGCGUGCGGGAUGACGGCCAUCGGGUUGUAAACCGCUUUCGCCUGUGACGAAGCGUGAGUGACGGUAAUGGGUAAAGAAGCACCGGCUAACUACGUG